rnacentral:misc_RNA from 1 species
AACGCACAUUGCGCCCAUUAGUAUUCUAGUGGGCAUGCCUGUCCGAGCGUCAUUUCAACCCUCAGACACCCGUGUCUGGCGUUGGGGCGUUCUAUAGCGGUUGCUAUAGGCUCCGAAAACCAGUGGCGGGCCCGCCGAGAGCCUAAACGCAGUAGUUUCUCGUUUUUGGCAUCUUGGUGGCUGCUCAGCCGGUAAACUUCCAAUUUUCAGAAGUUUGACCUCGGAUCAGGUAGGAUUACCCGCUGAACUUAA